rnacentral:rRNA from 1 species
GAUGAACGCUAGCGGCAGGCUUAACACAUGCAAGUCGAGGGGUAGAAGGAGCUUGCUCCUUUGAGACCGGCGCACGGGUGCGUAACGCGUAUGCAAUCUACCUUGUACAGGGGGAUAGCCCAGAGAAAUUUGGAUUAAUACCCCAUAGUGUAAUGAAUAGGCAUCUAUUUAUUACUAAAGUUCCAACGGUACAAGAUGAGCAUGCGUCCCAUUAGCUAGUUGGUGUGGUAACGGCAUACCAAGGCAACGAUGGAUAGGGGUCCUGAGAGGGAGAGCCCCCACACUGGUACUGAGACACGGACCAGACUCCUACGGGAGGCAGCAGUGAGGAAUAUUGGUCAAUGGGCGCAAGCCUGAACCAGCCAUGCCGCGUGCAGGAUGACGGUCCUAUGGAUUGUAAACUGCUUUUGUACAGGAAGAAACACUCCCUCGUGAGGGAACUUGACGGUACUGUAAGAAUAAGGAUCGGCUAACUCCGUGCCAGCCGCCGCUGUAAAAC